GCCAGUGUGGCGUAACGGCCAGCGCAUCUGCCUAGUGAGCAGGAGACCCAGGUUCAAAUCCUGGCAGUGGUA